UAUAUAUUUAAAUGCCAUUUAACAAAGAAAAAUCAACCAAAAAAAUGAGUUCACGGUUCAUAGGUUCGCCAUCACCGAUCUAAUGAAAGCCCUGGACAUGCCCUCUUCCCAGAAAAGUGUGCACAUGGACACCCCGAGCCCAUGUAUGAGCUCCCCAGGGCCUCUAAUGAUGCGUUUCAGGGCUACAUGAUAGAUUAAAUCUCCCAAAACAGAUAGUAACAGGGAUCAAUAAGGCUUGUUAAAAAUCAACCCUGUUAAUGUGGAACUGGAGCAGCCAAGCUGGAUGGCAGUUGUGAAAGAGUUAGAUUUGGGUUGGAGUAAUAGAGGCACAUGUUCACAAAAAGGGAGGUGAUGAGCCCUACCUGGUUUGGCUCAGUGGAUAGAGCAUUGGCCUGGGGACUGAAGGGUCCUAGGUUCAAUUCCUGGUCAGGGCACAUGCCUGGGUUGCAAGCUUGAUCCCCACAGGGGGGCGUGCAGGAAGCGGCCAAUCAAUGAUUCUCUCUCAUCAUUGAUGUUUCUAUCUCUCCCUCUCCAUUCUUUUCUGAACUCAAUAAAAAUAUAUUAAAAAAACAAAAAGGGAGGUGGUGAGCCAGCGUACACCCCACCCACAGGCCUGGCCCCGGUGCAUCACGGCAGUCCCAGGCCCUCGACACAAAAGGCUGCUGUCACACUGAGGGGGCCCAGAGGCAGCCCUCUGACGGGAGGGAUCCUAGUGGCCGUGUUGUUAGAGGCCUGGUUCAAGGAGACGAAGGUAAGACCGCUCGUCAGAGGUGUCAGAUGCCAACCAUCUGCAGCUCAUCUGGCUGCUUCUCAAGGGUCAAUGUUCUGGCCUAGAGUAAAAAACAGCUUUCUGACAAAGAUGUUCAAAGUGGUGGUGAACUUUCCAGCACAGGAAGUAUUCAAGCAGAGGCCCCUGAAUGGUGGAGGGGGGAGGGGGCCCUAAACUGGAGAGGGUGCUGGUGAGAGAAAUUAGGGGUGGUUGAUUCCAGGGCCACAACUUUGGGAUUGAAGACUCCCCAACAGUGAGGGUUCAGAGAGGGAGAGGGAGAGAGAAACAUCAAUGAUGGGAAUCAUUGGUCAGCUGCCUCCUGCGGGCCCCCCACUGGGGAUCGAGCCCACAAUCUGGGCAUGUGCCCUGAAUGGGUUCGGGAAUCGAACUGGGACCUCCUGGUUCACAGGUCAACACUCAGCCAUUGUGGAUUCAGCAGAUGAACCCUUUUGAGCUAGGAUCAUCCUGGCUGCCAACCUGUGGUGGUUUUUCCCAGCCUGGCCUCCCAGAGCUUUAGGCCUCUCCUUGGCCCUCCCCAGCCUGUGUCUCCAUAGCGGAGCCCAGCUUCCCUGGCUACUGAGGAGGUGCAGGUGGUCCUGGGGAAGAGCAGCCUGGCUGGCGGCAGCGCCUGCCCUCUAGUGGUCACAUGGAGAGUUGCUCACUUCAACUUCUGUCCGUCUACCUUCACCCCUCCAGUCUCCACCACUGCUCUGCUCCAAACCAAACGCAGGGAGCCUGGGCAGGACACUCCCAGCUGUGCUCACCCUCACCCCCUGCCAGCCCCGAGUUCCUCCUGCUUCCCUACUCCCAGGUCCUCUGGCCUCGGAGCCUGAGGCCAGUACUGCCCCCUCCCACUCUGGGAAUCCUCGUCCUAACCUCAUUGCAGCUGCAGAGACAGCCACAUACCCUGCCUGAUUUAGGACCAAAAAGCCCUCCCCUCCCUGGGAGUCUGGGUGCCCUGGAGCCCCACCCCCUGCCAGGAGAGGCAGGACGGGGGCAGGUGGGUUGGCUGCAAGACCAGGAACAGAGAGUCCUGAAUCGUGACCAGGAAGGCUGGGUUACAAGCUCACUCUCUGCCUCCACUUCCCCCUGCCCAGGCCCAGGGUCCGAGCCCAGCAGAUGAACCCUGCCCAGGCAUGCUUUGUCCGCAGUGCCUGCUGGGUCUAAAAGGUGGCCCGGGUGCUGCUGGAGUGAUGGUGGGACUCCAAAGCUUGCGGGGGACGGAUGUGCCUAAACCAGUGGUUCUCAACCUUCUGGCCCUUCAAAUACAGCUCCUCAUGUUGUGACCCAACCAUAAAAUUAUUUUCGUUGCUACUUCAUCACUGUAAUGUUGCUACUGUUAUGAAUCGUAAAUAUCUGAUAUGCAGGAUGGUCUUAGGCGACCCCUGGGAAAGGGUCGUUUGACCGCCAAAGGGGUCGCGACCCACAGGUUGAGAACCGCUGGCCUAAACUCUCACCCGCCCUGCCUGCCCCACCUGCCCCCUUCCCUGGAGAAUUGAGGAAUAAGGAUGCUUUUCCAAAGGAGUAGGAUGGUGCCUGCAGGUUAACACCCUGGUGAGUGUGGGGACCAGGGGCCGUAGGGGCCAGAACGGUACCUGGGGUCCCUGGACCAGCCAUUCCCUGCUCACCACUGCAACACCAUCUCCGACACUAUGGCAUCAAGGCCCGGGAGGAUGGUCGUUCCUGCCCUCAGCUCCGGAGGUGGAUCUGAGAGGAACAGAGAGCGGGCACUGCCAUUCAGUCCACAGGAGGGCUACACCGUGACCACCUGACCCCACAGAGAACCCUCAGGGCCUGCCCUGCCCAGACCUGGCACCACCCCUGGGCUCAGUCCUGCUGCCCACUGGGGCCCAGCCACAGCGGGUCACCGGGACCUUGGAGGCAGUUCCGGCUGCAGGCCAGCUCGGCUCAGCAGUUGCCAUGGAACCCUGGCACUUUUGCAGGCAAAAGCUAAAUAGCCAGAGUCCACCUGACAGGGGCCGAUACUGCCCCUAAGGGCACGGGGCACUUGGGGGAGGGUGCCUGGAGGCACUGCUGCCCAGUCUUGGGAGGGCAGCCCUAGCAAUCUGGGCUGCUGAGACGGGCACCCCAGCUCACCUGGAGCUCCUGCCUCCCUUCCCUCUAGCCUCCUGAAAGCGACAGAUGGUUCCAGGCAGAGCAGAGCCGGAGGACCACGGUAGAAGUGGCCCACUACCCUUCGUGUCCCACUGGUUCAACCUCUGGGUAAAGCCACGCUCUAGGAGUCCACAUCCUCCCAGAGCCAACUGAGUCUAGAAGAUGGUCAAAGGCAGAAACCACCAGCCCUGCCCAGAUCUACCCCAAACCAGGAGCCAGGGCCAGGCAGGCCAGGUGCAUCCAGUGCAGGGGACCUGGCUUACCUGAGGGGACUCCAGGGGGGCUGGAACACUCCUCCGCCCCCCACCACCACAGGCAUAUUAACCACACCCUCCAGUCAAAGCCACCUCAGCGGCACUCAGACACAGAGUGGUCCAGAAUGGCCAUUUUAAUGCAGAAAAAUCAAGAUAAUUUACAAAUGAAUUACUUUUUGGGCCCAGGCUGCGAGGGCAGAAAGGAGGUGGAGACUGUUGAGAGUCAGACAAUGAUGUCGGCACCUUCGGCCAGAUCCUACCCAGGCUGCAGCCUGCCAGGAGAGCCCUGGGCCCGGGCCUGCUGCUCAACUCCCGCUAGUCCACCCCAAGUGGGUGGCCAUGGAGACCGAUCCCGGGGAGGCAGGGGGAGGAACAAGGCUGCUGGCCCUUGCCCUCUGGCCAAGCCACAGCAGGAAGUAGAGCCAGGCUCCGGAGGCCCAGCACGUUGGCGCUCCCCGGCCUUCCUCCCAGCAGGCUGCAGAGGGGCAGCGCAGAGCAGAGGGCACAGGACGAGCCCCUGGACUGAGGUUUGGAAAGGGGCUGUUUGAUUGGAUCUGGCUCGGAGAACGAUCGCAGAUGAGGCAGUUGCUAGGGAGGUCUCAAACCCUUCUAGAACCCUCCCUCCCACCCCC